UACGUAGGGGGCAAGCGUUAUCCGGAUUUACUGGGUGUAAAGGGAGCGUAGACGGCAUGACAAGCCAGAUGUGAAAGCCCGGGGCUCAACCCCGGGACUGCAUUUGGAACUGUCAGGCUAGAGUGUCGGAGAGGAAAGCGGAAUUCCUAGUGUAGCGGUGAAAUGCGUAGAUAUUAGGAGGAACACCAGUGGCGAAGGCGGCUUUCUGGACGAUGACUGACGUUGAGGCUCGAAAGCGUGGGGAGCAAACAGG
rnacentral:rRNA from 1 species